rnacentral:tRNA from 1 species
AGCUCAGCUGGAUAGAGCGCUGCCCUCCGAAGGCAGAGGUCGUGAGUUCGAAUCUCGCCGGGUGCGCCA